CUCAGCCUCCCAAAGUGCUGGGAUUACAGACAUGAGCCACUGUGCCCGGCCGAGUAAGUUCUUUAGUGGUGAUUUGUAAGAUCCUGGUGCAUCCAUCACCCCACUGCACCAUAUAUGUUGUGUUUUAUCCCUUGGCCCCAUCUCACUCUUCCCCCUAAGUCCUCAAAGUCCAUUGUAUCAUUCUUAAUGCCUUUGCGUCCUCAUAUAAGUCUGUUACUGGUAGAUGUAUCCGCUUGCAUCUAAAUCUGCAUGUAGCUGCAGUUCAUUUACGUUCAGUCUUUGGAAUGCAUAAGUAAAUACUCCAGAUUUUAUUUAUCUGUUCUCUUGUGUGUAGGUGUGUCAGUUGUUUGCAGUACUUUGCUGUUACCAACAAUACAGCACUGAGCACUCUUAUAGGAAGUUUGCAGGGGACAUGUCUAAGAGCUUCUCUAGGGAUAGAUUCAGUAGGGAUAUUACUGCUAUGUAGGAUACAGAGUUCAGCUUUCCAUGAUAAUACCAGUGUUUACACGUUGUAGAUCGUACAGUUUACACCCCCCCACACUGGCUCCAAAUACUAUCAAUAUUCAGCAUUUUAAAGACUUUUACAUUGUUUAUCCAGUGAGUUAAAAUGGGUUUCCAUAUGGGCAUCCUGUUGGGUUUUGGUUUGCAUUUCCUGUAAGUUGAUCAUCUUUUUUACUGCUUAUAGGCCAUUCCUAUUUCCUCUUCAGUGAAAUGCUUGUUUACCUGGAAAUCAUGUGGGCAACUGCCAUAGAAGGGAAUCACCUGUAAGGUAUUAAAGGUAGUUCCCUGUGGGUGGGUAGACAUAAGUUCCUGGAGCCACUAAAAGUAGUUUCCCUCAAGAGAGUGAGUGAGAAGCUCCGUUUUCUAGGAAAGGGGGUGUAGUCAAACCUUUUGUGCUUGCGGGUCUGAAAAAAGAAACUACCCAGUCAAAACAAGAAGGGGUUCAGCACUCUGGGUGGAAAUAACAAACGCUCAACCCAAAUACAUGUAAAUAAUGAAAGAAAAUCAGGAGCAUGCAUCACUGAAAUGUCCAGGGUUAGAAUGAGUGUGCAGCGGAGUGGGAUGGAGAGGUUUGAGAAGCUGGCAGGGCCCUGAGUCACUGAAACGUCCAGAGGUAGAAUGAGUGUCCAGCUGAGUGGGAUGGAGAGGUUUGAGAAACCGGCAGGGCUCUGAGUCCUUUUGCUUUGCCCGCCUCGUACGUCAACUUUUCCAGGGGCCAGGUCUUCUGUUUUCCCUCUUCCUUCUGGAUUUACCGAGCACUUAUGAUGCAGGCGUUGUCCUGAGUGAUUAGUAUCUGUUGACUCAUGUGAUCCUCUCAAUUACCCUAUGCAGUAGGCACUGUAAUCCCACGUCUCAGCGGAGGAUCCCAGGGAGCUGUCCCACUGACAGCAAGUGGUGCUGCCUGCGUGAGCUCCUGGGAGCCUGGUCCAGAGCUUGAAACCCGGCAGCCAUUCCAUGUCUGUCUGAAUUCCACCAUUCAGAGAAAGAGACUCCAUAUCUCCCAGCCUUCCCAGAAAAAGGGCUGCCGCGCCUACCUGUAUUAGGGCUCUCCAGAGAAGCAGAACCAAUGUACAUACGGGGACAGCAGGGAGAGAUUUUAAGAACUGCCUCAUGCGAAUGUGGAAGCUGGCAAGUCUGCAAUCUCUGGGAACAGGCGCACAGGCUAGAAAUUCAGGGUACUCAUGAGGAUAAGAGAAGAAUGUAGAGGCCCCUGGAUACACAGAAGGAUGCCAUUUCUUAUUGGACUCAGCUUUUCUCCAGGGAGCUCUUCUGUUGAAUUUUCUUUUCAGCACUGGGUCCACCAGGGGGCAGAUGAAGAAAGGGCCUGGAGAUUUGACAAUGUCAUUGGAGCACAGAGCUCCUCUCUUUCAGACGUGAACUAACUGGCACUGCUCCUACCCAAGCUGCGAUCACACGGCUAAAUAGGUCUGGCCAGUACAUCAUGACCAUGCAAUGUCUCAUGCUUCAGAUUCCAUUCUCAGCUCCCCAAAGGGCCAGGAGAGUCUGGUGCUGGGACCCUGGCAGGAGCAUGCUAGUAAAAUUCAGGAUUUCUUUAGCCAAGGAAUGGCAGACUUCCAACCUGCAUAAGCAAUAACUGUACAACUGAAACGGAUGUAAAAAACCUGAGAAAGAGAAAAUGGAAGGACAUCCCAGAGAAAAAGUGUUUUUGUUUUUAAGGACAUAAGGACAGAAAAAUAAGAAAGAAAACGUCUACAGUAGAGUCUUAUGUCUAUAACUCUCCCUCAAGCUGUGGUUGGAAAAGAACUUUCUGAAAAAGGUUUUCACCUCUGUAAUGAACAUGCUCACUCUGACAGCACUUUUGGUUGACCUGAGAGUACACACAGCUGUGAGGCUGAUCUUGUUCGGCCAGUAUCCUGACCUCAGCCGCCCUUACUGCUCAGGCAGGAAUGGACUCAGCAGAUGGUACCUGGCAGACAUGCCUCCCAGGUGAUGCAGGAACCUUCUUCAUAGAACCUGCUCUAGAACGAAACGUCUGGCUGCUCCCCGCACCUCAUAGGCCAGCUGUCUCACCCCUUGUCAUUGAGCAUAAAGAUCAUUAUCACCCAGGCCACAAACAUGCCGUUUGUUUCCUGGGCUUAGAGAAUCAGGGAAGGCUUCUAAGGGAAGUGCCAUCUCCAAUCCUGUAGGAGCAGCCAGGCCAGGGUGAGAGUGCUCUGGGGAGGGAGGCCAGCCCGUUUGCGGUGAGCAAAAGUAGGAUGCACUUUGGGAACUGGAAUAACUGAAGCAUGACUGGAACAGAGUUAGGCAAGUGGCAAGAAAUUAGACCAGGGAGGCAAGCAGGUGCCCUCCAGUUCCCCACUCCUCAAAGUGUAGCACGAAGACCGGCAGCACUGGUGUUCCCGGGAAGCUUGUUAGAAAUGCUAAAUUGCAGAUUUAUUGAAUCAGAAUCUUCAUGUUAAGAUCCCCAGGUGGCUG